GCUGUCGUCAGCUCGUGUCGUGAGAUGUUGGGUUAAGUCCCGCAACGAGCGCAACCCUCAUCCUUAGUUGCCAUCAGGUAAUGCUGAGUACUUUAAGGAAACUGCCAGUGAUAAGCUGGAGGAAGGUGGGGAUGAUGUCAAGUCAUCAUGGCCUUUAUGGAGUGGGCUACACACGUGCUACAAUGGUGUCUACAAUGGGCUGCAAGGUGCGCAAGCCUAAGCUAAUCCCUAAAAGACAUCUCAGUUCGGAUUGUACUCUGCAACUCGAGUACAUGAAGUUGGAAUCGCUAGUAAUCGUGGAUCAGCAUGCCACGGUGAAUACGUUCUCGGGUCUUGUACACACUGCCCGUCACGCCAUGGGAAUUGA
rnacentral:rRNA from 1 species